UACGUAGGUGGCAAGCGUUUGUCCGGAAUUACUGGGCGUAAAGCGUGCGCAGGCGGUUUUGUAAGUCUGUCGUGAAAUCCCCGGGCUCAACCUGGGAAUUGCGAUGGAGACUGCAAGGCUAGAAUCUGGCAGAGGGGGGUAGAAUUCCACGUGUAGCAGUGAAAUGCGUAGAGAUGUGGAGGAACACCGAUGGCGAAGGCAGCCCCCUGGGUCAAGAUUGACGCUCAUGCACGAAAGCGUGGGGAGCAAACAGG
rnacentral:rRNA from 1 species